AUGUUCGUUAAUGAUUUGUUUUAACAUGUGAGAAUUGUUUCCCUGUCGGUUUUCCUGCGUCAAUUGCUAAUGGAAAUGAGGGAAAGGAAAAAUUACAAUGGAAAUUAAUACCGGGAAUGAUUUGUUGUCGAAUUGAAGAUUGUAGGGUGAAAAAUGCACUUCAUGUCUUCCUCGGAGGGAAUUAAUUGACUGUAGAGUUGGACGAAUUUCUUGAAAGGACACAAUUCGUUGCAUCCAGGAAUAAUUAUUCUGGUGCGCUCUGCGGGAAUCCCCAGGAGUUCCAUAAAUAUUGCACUGCUGUACUGGGGAUGAUCGGAUUCAAAAACCCCAAGGGUUAUCAGAAGACCAGC